GACGUAGGAUGCAAGCGUUGUCCGGAUUUAUUGGGCGUAAAGAGUUCGUAGGUGGUUUGUUAAGUCUGAUGUUAAAGACUGGGGCUCAACCUCGGAAAUGCAUUGGAUACUGGCAGACUUGAGUGUGGUAGAGGCAAGCGGAAUUCCAGGUGUAGCGGUGAAAUGCGUAGAUAUCUGGAAGAACACCGGUGGCGCAAGCGGCUUGCUGGGCCAUAACUGACACUGAGGAACGAAAGCUAGGGGAGCGAACAGG
rnacentral:rRNA from 1 species